AACGAGGAUUCCCCUAGUAACUGCGAGUGAAGCGGGAAAAGCUCAAAUUUGAAAUCUGGCGGUCUUUGGCUGUCCGAGUUGUAAUCUAGAGAAGUGUUACCCGCGUUGGACCGUGUAHAAGUCUCCUGGAAUGGAGCGUCAUASAGGGUGAGAAUCCCGUCUUUGACACGGACUACCAAGGCUUUGUGGUAUGCUCUCAAAGAGUCGAGUUGUUUGGGAAUGCAGCUCAAAAUGGGUGGUAAAUGCCAUCUAAAGCUAAAUAUUGGCGAGAGACCGAUAGCGAACAAGUACCGUGAGGGAAAGAUGAAAAGAACUUUGGAAAGAGAGUUAAACAGUACGUGAAAUUGCUGAAAGGGAAACGCUUAAAGUCAGUCGCGUUGGCUUGAAAUCAACCUUGCUUUUGCUGGGUGUACUUUCUAGUUGACGGGUCAACAUCAGUUUUGACCAGUGGAUAAAGUCAAUGGGAAUGUGGCUCCUUCGGGAGUGUUAUAGCCCAUAGUCGCAUACAUUGGUUGGGACUGAGGCUCUCAGCACGCCUUUAUGGCCUGGUUUCGACCAAGUUCGUGCUUAGGAUGUUGGCAUAAUGGCUUUAAUCGACCCGUCUUGAAACACGGACCAAGGAGUCUAACAUGCUUGCGAGUAUUUGGGUGGAAAACCCUUGUGCGUAAUGAAAGUGAAAGUUGAGAUCCCUGUCGUGGGGAGCAUCGACGCCUGGACCAGAGCUUUUGUGACGGAUCCACGGUAGAGCACGUAUGUUGGGACCCGAAAGAUGGUGAACUAUGCCUGAAUAGGGUGAAGCCAGAGGAAACUCUGGUGGAGGCUCGUAGCGAUUCUGACGUGCAAAUCGAUCGUCAAAUUUGGGUAUAGGGGCGAAAGACUAAUCGAACCAUCUAGUAG
rnacentral:rRNA from 1 species